UUCAGAGUGAGCAAGUCAUCCAUGGGAAGUUAAUUCAUCAUCUGAAAUAUCCAUGAUUUGGUUCAAGGAUUUCUAAACGCUGCAUUGCCCUUAUUGAGAUUACUUUGAAGCAGCACAACAGAAGCUGUAUGGGUACUGAUUGCAAAACAAAUGUCUAAGCAUCCAAAGGAUUCUUCAGAGCGACAUAAUCCAGUUUAUGUCCUUAAUAUUAAAGCUAAUAUUCCUCCAAGAAUAGAAAGUUAGGUAUAACCCAAUUUUAAUUUGUGUCGAAUUGUCAAUGUUAUCCAUUAUUAAUGUGGUGUAGCCAUGUAGGUAUGUAUUUACAACCUUAAUUCUUGAAAUGUUAUGGCAGGAUCUAUUCGAUCAUUCCUCCUUGUGAGCUACUGUUAAAACUGUAUAGCUGAAGCCAUAAUUAGCUCAACACCCACCUUACAAAGCCAAUGCCUUGCUGCAAAUCCAGGAAAGGGUAGGGUCAUCAUUAACAAACAAGUACAUAGAAUAUGCCCAUGGAUAUUGUUUUGGCUCCCUCAUGAGAAUUGUAUCUAUGACAGAAAAUAAGGUUCUUUUGGAAUAUUCCUAUUUCCUCGUCC
rnacentral:lncRNA from 1 species